AAAUCUCAUAUGCUUUACAUUAACAUAGAACGGCUAUAUUGAGAUUAAUUCAAGCCAACAAUCAAUCUGCAUGUGAGACCAUAGGAGUUGGUGGAUUUCCUUGUUGGUAGGAAUUAAUAAUGAGAAUAAUUUACCUUCCAAAAGGGGGUUUGAUAAAAAGUAGACAUUUUAUUU